rnacentral:lncRNA from 1 species
CAAAAGCAUUUCAUCUCAGUCACUUAAUUGCUGGAGCCUAUUCAUUCAGAACAUACAUCACCAACACAAGGCCAAUGACAAACGAUCGUAUAAACAAGAGAAACAGAAACAUGUGAAGAAGUUUAGCUUUUAUAUACAGAACAACUAGAGACAGAGCAUUGGGAAGAGGGACUCACUGAAGAGUUUUAAAUAGGGAAGCAACAGAAUGAGGUUUGAAUUCACAAAGACCAUUCACUUUUCCUUUAGGAAGCUAUUUAGCAGUAAGAGAAAAGCACAGAAAUGUAGGUGGCAGAAGGGCUGGACAGAAUGCAGAGUGAGUGUGCACCCAUUUCUCCCAGAGCAGGACCUUGAUCUGCAGAAUGACCAUGCUCCUGAGAGGCAAUGGGUGGUCUCUAGGGGCCCUUCCACUCUGAGGCCUACAUUUCAUGAUUGCUGACAGAUCGCAAGAUACAAGAAAAAAGGCAAAUGAAUAACUAUGAUACUCUUUCAAGAAGACAGGAUAUACUGUGGGCUUUGGUACAAGCAUAUCAGAAGAUCCAUGUACAAAGAUGUCCUUUUUCUGUGUUUC